GGGUCCAUAGCUUAGUGGUAAAACAUUUGAUUGUAGAUCAAGAGGUCAUUAGUUCAAAUCUGGUUGGGCCCU